rnacentral:lncRNA from 1 species
CGCUAGACGUUGAAAGUUGUGGAGGCGGGGGCGAGGAGGGAGGGGGAAGCCGUGGCGGGGGCGGGGAGGGUUCCGGCGAAGGGGGAGGUGGGGGCGGUGCACGAGAUCGCCGUGGCGUCCUUGGGGAUGUGGGAGGCGGGGGGUGCGGUGGGGAAGAAGGGGGAGGAGGGGUAGGUGGGGGAGGAGGGGUAGGUGGGGGAGGAGAGGAAGAUGGUGGGGGUGGGCGGGAUUUCCUGUUCACAGUUGGUGGUGAUGGGGAAGGUGGCGAUGGAGGGGGUUGCGGGGUGGACGACGGUGGAGGUGAAGGUGGAGGUGGCGGUGGUGGUGAAGGUGGAGGUGGCGGUGGUGGUGAAGGUGGAGGUGGCGGUGGUGGUGAAGGUGGAGGUGGCGGUGGUGGUGA